rnacentral:rRNA from 1 species
CGCCUGUUUAUCAAAAACAUCGCUCCCUGUAACUCAAAAAUAGGGAGUCGGACCUGCCCGGUGAAAUGUGUUAACGGCCGCGGUACCCUGACCGUGCAAAUGUAGCGUAAUAAUUUGCCUUAUAAUUGAAGGCUGGUAUGAACGGUUUAACAAGAAUAUUGCUGUCUCUUUAUAAUUCAGUAAAAUUGUAUCUUAAGGUAAAGAAGCCUUAGUUCAAUUGAUAGACAAGAAGACCCUAUCGAGCUUCAACAAAAUUAGAAGACAAAUCAAUAUGCCUAAAAAACAAACUUCUAACAAUUUUGGUUGGGGCAACCGAGGAACAAAAAAAGCUUCCUCUAAUAACAAAAUACAUACAAGUCUUGAUCCAAAAAAUUUGAUUAUAGAAAUUAGUUACCUUAGGGAUAACAGCAUUAUCUUCCUUGAGAGCUCAUAUCGAAAGGGGGGGUUGUGACCUCGAUGUUGGACCAGAAUACCCCAAAGGUGCAGAAACCUUUAAAGGUUGGUCUGUUCGACCAUUAAAAUUCUACGUGAUCUGAGUUCAGACCGGA